UACGUAGGGUGCGAGCGUUAAUCGGAAUUACUGGGCGUAAAGCGUGCGCAGGCGGUUGUGCAAGACCGAUGUGAAAUCCCCGGGCUUAACCUGGGAAUGGCAUUGGUGACUGCACGGCUAGAGUGUGUCAGAGGGGGGUAGAAUUCCACGUGUAGCAGUGAAAUGCGUAGAGAUGUGGAGGAAUACCGAUGGCGAAGGCAGCCCCCUGGGAUAACACUGACGCUCAUGCACGAAAGCGUGGGGAGUAAACAGG
rnacentral:rRNA from 1 species